GAUGAACGCUAGCGACAGGCCUAACACAUGCAAGUCGAGGGGCAGCACGAAGUAAGCUUGCUUACUUUGGUGGCGACCGGCGCACGGGUGCGUAACAGGUGUGCAAUCUGUCCAUAAUCGGGGAAUAGCCCAGCGAAAGUUGGAUUAAUGCUCCAUGUGAGUUUUAGAGGCAUCUCUUUAAUUUGAAACGUAAGGAUUAUGGGUGAGCACGCUUCUGAUUAGGUAGUUGGUGAGGUAACGGCUCACCAAGCCGACGAUCAGUAGGGGUUCUGAGAGGAAGGUCCCCCACAUUGGAACUGAGACACGGUCCAAACUCCUACGGGAGGCAGCAGUGAGGAAUAUUGGUCAAUGGACGGAAGUCUGAACCAGCCAAGUCGCGUGAAGGAUGAAGGUUCUAUGGAUUGUAAACUUCUUUUGUCUGAGGGUAAAACAGUGGACGUGUCCACUCUUGCAAGUAUCAGACGAAUAAGCAUCGGCUAACUCCGUGCCAGCAGCCGCCGUAACAC
rnacentral:rRNA from 1 species